CACCACAUGCCCUGAAAUAAAACCUGCCUUUCAUUAGGAAAUCCAUGCAGGUUGGAAGCCAGUGUCAGUAUCAUGGAAUGAAUGACUGGUCAAACCUCAUAAGAUAAAUGUGAAUUCAAACUGGCGGACAAGAAACAUUAUCUAAGGGCACGAAAUAGCUCUGAGCUGUUGAAAGUAAUGUGUCUUCAGUCUACUAGAAAAUGUGUACUGGUGGUCUUAACAAAUCAUUUUCAACUGGUCAUUUCUCCACCUGCUCACCAAGGCCCAAGCAGCUGAAGCAAGCACAUCUCUGACACUGACUGAAUACCAAUGAAGCUGAGGUCACUUCAGUGUCAAGUGAGUGGGAG
rnacentral:lncRNA from 14 species